rnacentral:tRNA from 1 species
GGGAAGGUGGCUCAGUGGUAGAGUGCUUGCCUUGCAUGCAUGAGGCCCUGGGUUCGAUUCUUCAGCACCCU